AGCCCCGUGGUGUAGUGGCCAAGCAUAGCGGGCUCUGGACCCGUUGACGGCAGUUCGAAUCUGCCCGGGGCUA
rnacentral:tRNA from 1 species